rnacentral:rRNA from 1 species
UACGAAGGGGGCUAGCGUUGUUCGGAAUUACUGGGCGUAAAGAACAUGUAGGCGGUUUAUCAAGUUGGAAGUGAAAUCCCGGGGCUUAACCUCGGAACUGCUUUCAAAACUGGUUUACUAGAGAUAGGUAGGGGACAUUGGAAUUCCUAGUGUAGAGGUGAAAUUCGUAGAUAUUAGGAGGAACACCGGAGGCGAAAGCGAAUGUCUGGACCUAUUCUGACGCUGAGAUGUGAAAGCGUGGGGAGCAAAC